UACGUAGGGACCGAGCGUUGUCCGGAUUCAUUGGGCGUAAAGAGCUCGUAGGCGGCUGUUUAAGUCGAACGUGAAAACUCGGAGCUCAACUCCGAGCCUGCGUUCGAUACUGGACGGCUAGAGUCUGGUAGGGGGAUCUGGAAUUCCUGGUGUAGCGGUGGAAUGCGCAGAUAUCAGGAGGAACACCGGUGGCGAAGGCGGGAUCCUGGGCCAGUACUGACGCUGAGAAGCGAAAGCGUGGGGAGCGAACAGG
rnacentral:rRNA from 1 species